rnacentral:misc_RNA from 1 species
GCAUUUUAGUGGUGACUGGCUUUAGAUAGAUUGUCUUUGCCCUUCCUCCAGCCAGUUAACAGUUACAGACUUUACUGUUGAAUUUUUGUCCUCUAUCUCCAACUGCCUCUCACAGGUCACAGACACUUGAAAAAGUUUACAGUCACCUUCUUAUCUUAUCUAAUCUUGGAACAGAGAGACAGAGAGGCAGGCCGCAGGCCAUGAGCAAGAGUAAGCCUUCAAGAUCAUAACACUGAAAAUAUGGCGGUAGCAUUCUGUAACCUGAACCUGUUGUUGGGUCUAAAGAAACCCCAUGUAUCUUUCAUCAAGUAUAGUUAUGCUACAAGGUCUGAUCAGGGAGUUUUGUUUCCAAAUGCUUCUACAAGAUCGUGGUCGUUCUAUUAUAGCAGACAUGAAUUUUUCUUUAGGACUCAUAGAAGACAGGUAGAAAUCAAGCAAAAAAGCCAAAGUAGACUGAUUUUUUCUAAGAGCGCAACUCAAUACGCUGAUAAUACAUAUGGAGGAGAAAAAGAGGAAGAGAUUUCUAAAGUGACCUUGAUAUGGAGGGCAAUCAAAUUGCCAAUUUACUCGGUUGCUUUGGUCCCACUCACCUUUUUGGGAACAGGUAGGUGGUGCAGCUGCUUAUCUGCAGACCGGCACGUUUUCGGCUAGGCGCUAUGUUGUGCUCUUAGCUUCUUCAAUCCUUAUUAUAACAUGGCUCAAUUUAAGGUGAGUUCUAUAAAAAAAAGGGAAAAUAACAUUUUGGCUUGCAGCUGCUUUGGCUUAAAGCUUGUCUUUGGGUGGUAUAUGAUAGUGUUGAUGACUAACAAAUGUGCUAGAAAGUGACUCAUAUAAGUUGUUGAAUUAGGCAAUUAAGCUGUUGUAGGACCUUGACAGAUAUCUGAGGGAGGAAACUGACCAAUUUGGGACUUAAAUGGCAAUCUCGGUUGCAUUUCUUGUUCAGGGAUAUUGAAAGGAUUUUAAGCUAGAUGACGCUCAGAAUACUGAUUUGGCAAAUAAGUUCCUUCAAUUUUCUGUAUUUCAUUAUACUUUUUUGCGCCUUGAUCUUACUGUUGAAGCAUCUUGCACGAUUUUCACCUGCUAGUAAAUUCAAUUGUUUAUCUUAAAGUAGUGUGAUAGAACCAUUUAAAUUGGUUCCUUUGAGCUGUGUUAAAAUUCUUAUACAUUGUGCAUGGACAGCAACGAUGUUUAUGAUUUCGAUACAGGAGCAGAUAAGAACAAGAAAGAAUCAGUUGUGAACUUGGUUGGCAGGUAAGUUGUUCAACUAUCUGUUUAUGGUAAUUACGCCUUUGUUUCUUUGUUUUUAGUAAUAUAUUUUGAUAGAAAGCAGUAAGAUAUUUGGCUAAUUAUGCCCUGCAUCUGCUACGGCUAUGGAAAGCCGUUCAGGAAUCUUUGUUGCUGCUUAUUCAUCUCUUGCCCUUGGCUUCAUGGGACUGACAUGGACAUCUCUAGGGGCAGGAAGUGUGCAAGCAAUAUUAUUGCUAGCUUGUGCAAUUACUUGUGGUUAUAUAUAUCAGGUACAGAAAAUCUUACUGGCUUGGAGGUAUUUAAAAUAAUUUUGAAGCAUUGAUUCGUACUAUCUCAAGUCAUAUAAGCUGGUAAAUUUGAAUCCAAAUAUAGCGGAAUCGUCAUAUACUUUCUUUGGAUACACCUGUGAAAAUCUUGUGACGCCAUAUUGCCAUGUAAUAUUUUUUCUGCUUAGCAUUGUAUGUGUGCAGUGCCCGCCAUUUCGGCUAAGUUACCAAGGACUGGGUGAACCCCUGUGCUUUUCAGCAUUUGGCCCCUUUUCCACUACUGCAUUUUACUUACUGCUGGGGAGUUCAAGUGAGAUGACCAAUCUCCCAUUAACCGGUACAAUUCUUUCUGUGUCACUCCUUGUUGGCUUCACAACAUCGUUAAUCCUCUUUUGCAGUCACUUCCACCAAAUAGAAGGAGAUAUAGCUGUUGGAAAAAUAUCCCCUUUGGUUAGACUUGGCACUGAGAGAGGUUCUGAUGUGGUGAAAGUAGCAAUCUUGACACUCUACUCUCUUUUGUUUGCUUUUGGUCAGAGCAGGGCUCUUCCUUUUACCUGCGUUCUUCUCUGUGCCCUGACAAUACCUAUGGGAAAACUGGUAGUUACCUUUGUUGAAGAAAACCACAAGGACAAAGGGAAGAUUUUCAUGGCAAAGUAUUAUUGUGUGAGAUUACAUGCUUUAUUUGGGGCAGCAUUGGCAGCAGGACUGGUGGCAGCUAGAAUGAUCUCCUGAAGAUAUGUUCCAAGGCUGAUGUUUUCUUGAAUAUUAUCCAGCAAUUAAGUGAAAAAUCAAGCUGUUUAGUCAUUCCGUUUAACAUUUUUCACAGAUUUCGUUACUCAACAGCAUGUGUCAUUGGUCAGAAGAAAGAGAGUAUCUUUAUCUUCUGAAAAUAGUCUCACAUAAGAAGCACUAAACAGUAUCAUUUUACCAGAUAAGGGACCAAAUUAGUUAAUUUCGACAUUAUAUAAGAAUUUAGUAGUAAGUUAUUUUUAAAAUAGAAGAAUUAAAGUGUUAAAAAUA